rnacentral:lncRNA from 1 species
UGUUUGUCUUUUAACCUUAAACGUAUUGAUGAAUAAAUGAUGAUGAUGAUGUGUAAACAACAGAAGAGAACUGGCUUUCAUUUUUCCGACCACGUGACUGGGAGAUCUUAAUAAUGGAAGCUCUCUUACAUGUUCCUGAAAAUGAAGAAAAGAAUAGAACUUUCAGAAUUAGCAUAGCAGAUGAUUUAUCUCUUCCACCAGCAUGCCAGACAUGUGUCACUGGUUGCACAAGAACUCAAGAACCAGAUGCUUCCGGAAAGACACAUCCUCAACCUACACCCACCUAGUAUUGCUCACUUUUCAGAUCCUUAAGUUUCACACAUAAUUCAGGUGCUUUUCUCAAUAAAAAUUUUGCUUCUAAAAUCUAAACUAUACACAUUUAUUACACUGUGUCCUGAUAACUUGUAUGCCCUUUUUACCCCUGUUUUAUCAAUUUUUUUUUAUUUUAUGUUUUCAUAGACUAUGUUCUAUAUGAUAUCAUUGUACCACACGCUAAAUUUAUGGUCUGUGACAAAAAUAUUUGUUACCAUCUGGAUAAAGUUGGACAUGUGAAGACAAAAUAAAGGUUCUCCAAAUCGUGGUGUUUUUUUUUCCUGCAUACUAGGACUAUCCGUUUGUAGGGAAGAAAGAAAAUCUCAUUUGUUUCUUUUAUAACAGCCUCUUUGUUACCUAGAACAUGACAUGACAAAACAAUAAUAGACUGUAUUUAUUGUAUUUGGUAUGCAUUGGACUGGACCAUGACCAGGACUUAUGUCCAUAGGGAAAUAACUGCAAUCUUUGGAGACGGGAGUGUGCGCAUAGCUUUAAAAAAACUUGUCUAUUCAUGUCAUGUGUAAAAGCGGUCAAAUGCACUUUUGUGAGUUGUCUUGCAUACAAAAUCGUUUGUGUUUUUCUUGGUUUUUAGGUGAAAUCCGUUGGAUACUUCUCACUUUUUAAAGAGAUUUAUAAUAUUUGGUAUGAUAGAAUCAAGUAAUGAAUGAAAUGGUUAGUUUUAUUGGAAUGAAAAAUAAAUGUUUGUUUUUGUGUGAUAAAAUGAAGUGGAUGAUUCUUGAAGGGAUAUGGUGAGUUUUUUUUUAUCCAAUUGUAUAAUGGACUGAAAAUAUAAACCUUUUUUUAGUUGUCACAUUGGCAUCUACAUACGUACAUACUUGAUGCUUAGGUUCAUACCUACCUUUCUUUUUCUCUCUCUCUCUCUCUCUCUCUCUCUCUCUAUAUAUAUAUAUAUAUAUAUAUAUANNNNNNNNNNNNNNNNNNNNNNNNNNNNNNNNNNNNNNNNNNNNNNNNNNNNNNNNNNNNNNNNNNNNNNNNNNNNNNUUUUUUUGUGUUAUUGGAAAUAUUAAUAAAAAGAUCUAAAAAUUAACAUUAUAAAUCAAAAUUUUAGAUUUUUUUAUAAAAAUAAUAAUUUUCAUUUAAAAAAAAAAUGCACAUUUUUUUAUUUUUUAUUUUUAAAAAUUGAUAUAUUUUUUUAUAACUGUAAUUUAAAUUUUUUUUUUUAAAAAUCAGUAAAUUUUUUAAAACAAGCUGGAAUAUUUAAAAAAAACUAUAAUUUUUUUAACCAAAAAAAGUCAACGUUUUAGGUGUACAUAUUCAUUUUUUUUUCAAGUGCAUAUAUGCCUAUUUCUUAUACUAUAAUAUUCGUAAGUAAAUUUAAAAAAAAUCAUUUUUAUUUACUAAUCUAUAAACAAAAUAGUACAAUUUAUUUGAUACAAAAUAAAAUAUAAAAAACAAAAAAUGUUACAAAAUUUCAAGAUGUUUUUGUAUCUUCGUGUCAAGAUUUCAAUAUUUUCUUAAUUUUAUCAUUUUUCACCUAUUCAAUAUUUUCCAUAAAUUCUUCCAAAUCUACAAGAAAAUCAAAAAUAAUUUGAUUAAUGAAAGAACACUCACAAAAAUGCAUAUUUUUAUAUCAUGUAAGAUUUGCAUGUGAUUAUAUAAUGUGAUAUUCACAUGUGAUUAUAUCUUUUAAGAUUCAAAUAUGAAAUUCACAAGAAAAUUUAAAAAAAAUAAUUAACGAAGAACACACAUAAAAUGAAUAGACGUAAUUUAUAUGUGAUUCACUUGUGAUUUACAUAUAAAUCAUAUGUAAUUCAUAUGUGAUUCACUUGUGAUUUAUAUGUAAAUUACAUGUGAAUCACAUGUAAUUCAUAUAUGAUUCACAAGUGAAUUAUAUGUGAAUUACAUGUGAUUCAUUUGUGAUUUACAUGUGAAUUACAUGUGAUUUAUAUGUGACUCACAUGUGAUUUACAUGUAAUUUAUAUGUGAUUCACUGUCAACAUCAAGAAGCUUAACCUGAUCAAACGUACAUAUAAAAACAAUAUUAUGCCACCAAUAUCAAGGAUUCAAUAACUCUAAUGGAAUUACAUAGAAAAUUCGAUUAAAAAAGGCAUUUCAUUGCAUUACAAUAUGUAUUUAGUGUUAUAGGCAAACCUAUUAAGAAAAUUACAAUCAAGUUCCAUAAGAUUGAAACAAUGUAUGCUUUUAAAAUCCAAACAAACCUCACUAACAAGAUCACGACUCCCAAGGUUAAGAGCAUCAGACAAGAACAAAAUAUCUUUCCUCAAAUAACUGGAAAUAAGUUAGGCGCGACAAUGGAUUACCUAAUUCACCGGGAACUAGAAGCAAUAGCUUAAUAAUCUUCAAUGGCGGAGGAAGCCAUGGAUUCCGAGGUCGGAUCGUUGAUUCCAGACGACGAUUCUAGAACUUAGAUACGCUAAAAACAAUAGAUUACCUACAUAAAAGAUAGAACAGGGCGAGGGCUAAAAAUCGAUGGCAGAAACCGAAUGUGAAACGAUUAUAGAAAUUCAUUUCAUUAACAUCGAGAAAACGAUUGUACCUAUUGCUUGGAUUAAACAUGAAGGCCGGAAGAAAGUGAUGAAGAUCUGGUGAUUGUAGAAAUCGAUUUCAUUAACGUCGAAAACGAUUAUAGGUGUAAUCGUUGAGGUGACUGACGGCAACAGAAAAUUACCGAUUGUAGGAGCAUUUGUUACAAAUCCGACGAUCUGGAGAUUAGGGAGUGUUACCUAAGACAGGACGAAGGGGAGAGAGAGACAGGAUGAAGGGAAAGAGAGGGAGGGUAGGGUUGAUGUUAUCCCUAAAAUGCCCUUCACUCAUUUUAAUUAGAUGCCCUCCUGUCUUCAUUUUCUUAAGUAUUUACAAAACC